rnacentral:rRNA from 1 species
AUACGUAGGUGACAAGCGUUAUCCGGAUUUACUGGGCGUAAAGGGCGUGUAGGCGGUCUUGCAAGUCAGAAGUGAAAUUCCUGAGCUCAACUCGGGCGCUGCUUCUGAAACUGCAGGACUUGAGUGCUGGAGGGGAUAGCGGAAUUCCUAGUGGAGCGGUAAAAUGCGCAGAUAUUAGGAAGAACACCGGUGGCGAAGGCGGCUAUCUGGAAAGUAACUGACGCUGAGGCGCGAAAGCGUGGGGAGCAAACAGGAUUAGAUGCCCUGGUAGUCCACGCCGUAAACGAUGAAUACUAGGUGUAGGGGGUAUCGACUCCCUCUGUGCCGCAGUUAACACAAUAAGUAUUCCGCCUGGGGAGUACGGCCGCAAGGUUGAAACUCAAAUGAAUUGGCGGGG